rnacentral:rRNA from 1 species
CCUACGGGGGGCAGCAGUGAGGAAUAUUGGUCAAUGGACGAGAGUCUGACCCAGCCAAGCAGCGUGAAGGAUGACUGCCCUAUGGGUUGUAAACUUCUUUUAUAUGGGAAUAAAAUGUGCCACGAGAGGGUUAUUGUAUGUACCAUAUGAAUAAGGAUCGGCUAACUCCGUGCCAGCAGCCGCGGUAAUACGGAGGAUGCGAGCGUUAUCCGGAUUUAUUGGGUUUAAAGGGAGCGUAGGUGGAAUGUUAAGUCAGUUGUGAAAGGUCCGGGCUCAACCGUAAAAUUGCAGUUGAAACUGGCAGUCUUGAGUACAGUAGAGGUGGGCGGAAUUCGUGGUGUAGCGGUGAAAUGCUUAGAUAUAGCGAAGAACUCCGAUUGCGAAGGCAGCUCACUGGACUGCAACUGACGCUGAGGCACGAAAGUGUGGGUAUCAAACAGGAUUAGAUACCCGAGUAGUC